rnacentral:tRNA from 4 species
GCCUCCUUAGCUCAGUUGGCCAGAGCACCUGUCUUGUAAACAGGGGGUCGCCGGUUCGAAUCCGGCAGGAGGCUCCA